rnacentral:rRNA from 1 species
GACGAACGCUGGCGGCGUGCUUAACACAUGCAAGUCGAACGAAGUGGCGAACGGGUGAGUAACGCGUAAUCAACCUGCCCUUCAGAGGGGGACACCAGUUGGCAACGACUGCUAAUACCGCAUACUGAAGGAGGGGAUUGGGUAUGAUGGGAUAGUUGGAGGGGGAACGGCCCACCAAGGCGAUGAUCAGUAGCCGGUCUGAGAGGAGGAACGGCCAAAUUGGGACUGAGACACGGCCCAGACUCCUACGGGAGGCAGCAGUGGGGAAUCUUCCGAAAUGGACGAAAGUCUGACGGAGCAACGCCGCGGGAGUGAUGACAGCCUUCGGGUUGUAAAGCUCUGUUAAUCGGGACGCGGUACCGGAAUAGAAAGCCACGGCUAACUACGUGCCAGCCGCCGCGGUAAUUC